rnacentral:rRNA from 1 species
UACGUAGGGGGCAAGCGUUGUCCGGAAUCAUUGGGCGUAAAGCGCGCGUAGGCGGCCCGGUAAGUCCGUUGUGAAAGUCAAAGGCUCAACCUUUGAACGCCGAUGGAUACUGCCGGGCUAGAGUCCGGAAGAGGCGAGUGGAAUUCCUGGUGUAGCGGUGGAAUGCGCAGAUAUCGGGAGGAACACCUAUGGCGAAGGCAGCUCGCUGGGACGUUACUGACGCUGAGACGCGAAAGCGUGGGGAGCAAACAGG